CCCACAUUUCCUGUGUAAGCAUAAUUUUCCCUGCUUGAGUAGUGCUCUAUUUAAGUUCCCUGGUUUUUCUCCUCAGUUGCUGGAGCAGUUUUUCUGAGUUCUGGUUGUCCCGGUUCCCUAAUGUUCCUUGGUGUUUCCUGUUCCUCGAAUCUGUUUAACUGAGUCUAUUUCCCUGUGUUCUGUUGGCAAUAAAGAAGUUCCGCAUGUGCGUCCAUCUCCAUGGACUCUCCCUUAUGGCAGAAUGCUCCAACCACUCAUGGAUGCAGCAGAACUUCAGCUCUGUGAUGGGAGUGGGUUUUGGCUUUUCAGAGAGUGUAAUGUGGUCCAGACCUGGACAAACCGGUCCAAUCCAUGGAGACCACUGCUACUAACAGGAUCUGCUGCUAAUGUCUUGGUACCACAUACCACAGCACACCUUCAGAGGUGUUGUGGAUUCUAUGCCUUGAAUGGGUCAGAGUUGUUUUGGCAGCACAACGGGGACCUACACAAUAUUAUGCAGGUGGACCGCAGAAACAAAAUAAAUAGAUGGAGUGUUUAACGACGCAUUUACACAGAGGCACAUGAAAGGGACAUGAGGACAGUUUGGAAGGCAGAGCUCAGCAGUCUGUGUGCUCCCUCAGCAGCGGUGGAGGCCUGCUGAGACCCGACACUCAUUGCUCAUACUCAAACACCUUGGAUGUCAUCAGCCAUGCUGCCUAAAGGUCACACAGGGGGGAGCAGCCUCUAUUUCCAGUGUCUCCUGAUUGAUUCCCCAGGGGCAAGAGUAAGAAAAACUGAUUAGUGCUCUGAAAGACAGAGCACUUGUCUAUUGAAGCUUCUCAGAAUACUCUGAAUACUGUAUUUCCAAGUUUUGUAUAAUGGUGUUUGAAUGAUGGUUAAUAAAUCUGUACGUAUCUGAAUCAGUGGGUCCAGACGUACGAACCUGUCCUAUAAUUUCACUGCAGUUCCUGAAUCAUUUUUAGCAGCUCAAGUCAACAUGAAGAAUAAGCUGAAACUUUAAGAGCCUAAACUAUCACAACUAGACAGACCUCUAUCAUCUUGUUUGGCUUCACAGAAAAUCCUCACUGAUAUUCGACAAAGUCAUUCUGCAUUACCCAUGAACAUGUCCUCUGCUGAUAGCCAAGCCUCCCUAACACGUUUGCAGAUGGUACAGAAUGCUGCUGCUCGUGUGUUAACAGGAAAGCACAAGCGAGAACAUAUUACACCAAUAUUGGCCUCGCUUCACUGGCUUCCUGUUCAUUUUAGAAUUGAUUUGAACGUUUUAGUUUUAGUAUUUAAAUCGUUAAAUGGACUAGCAGCAAAUUAUCUGUCUGAUUUAAUAUAUCCACAUGCUCCAUGAAGAGCACUUAGGUCCGCUGAACAGUUACUUUUGGUCGUCCCUCGAGUAAGAGCAGAGGUGACUGUGCUUUUGCGGUUGGAGCCCCAUAACUUUGGAAUAAUCCUCCUCUACAUGUUUACUUUGGAAUAAUCCUCCUCUACAUGUUAGGCAGGCCCAGAAACUUUCUACUUUUAAAUCUAGACUUAAAAUUCAUUCUUACUCUUUGGUGUUUAACUCAAUAUGACAGCUGUUUUUUUUGUUGUUGUUGUUGUUGUUUGUUUGUUUGUUUGUUUGCUUGUUUUUUUACGAUUUAGUUCUUGUUUUAUGUUUUGUUGUACGUGUUUACUGUUUUAUUCUGAUUAUGUAUCGUACAGCACUUUGGUAAACACUUGCUGUUUUUAGAAGUGCUCUAUAAAUAAACUUUGACUUGACUUGACUUUUACUUGAUUUAUCAGUCCUGUCCUGAAGAGGGCAGUGUUUCCUCUUAUCUAAAGAACGUACAUAACUGGUUUCAUAAUGCCAUCACAUCCGAGGUCAGAUGACUUUGAGAGAAAUAUUAUCUGUUUGGAGCAGUGGUGUGAUGCAUUAGAGUGCCAUUAAAGGAAGGAAAUCAGGAAGUCAGUCUCCCUUCAUCACUUCCUCCAAACUCUGACAUGACCAUUUUCUUUCUAGAAUGUUUGUGCUCUACAUAUUCCUGUUCACACGGUGGCUCAAUAAUUGUUCACUUGAUGCUGCGGCAUCGAGAAUUUGUAGCACUUGACAUGGAUUUACUCCCUACUCUGUAAGAAUGCAUAAGUGGGUGUGGAUCGUUAG